ensembl:snRNA U6 U6 spliceosomal RNA
GUGUGCUCGCUUCGGCCGCACAUACACUGAAGUUGGAACGAUGCAGAGACGAUUAGCAUGGCCCCUGUGCAAGGAUGACAUGCAAAUUCGUGAAGUGUUCCAAAACAAA